rnacentral:lncRNA from 1 species
AUUCUCUGCCUGUAAAAAUAGGUCUCAAGUCUCCGAAUCCGCUGUCGAGCAUGUAAACGGGUACGGUUUAGGAACAUAACUCACAGCAUGAAAUCAAGGAACAAAAUCUCACGGCUUCCCUCGUCUCACAUGUUUCGCGAGACUGACUUUAAAAUCUUUUCCGCCAAUAAACCGCCGUAGAAGAAAGAGCUUGUCAGUUUUUUGAAUCGUUACGCCGGAAUCAUAUCAACAUGGAGGAGGGUCGAUCUUACCUGUCACAACCGGCGGAUGGCCUAGGUCGUCGGUGCCGUUCUCGCAAGUUCUUCCCGGCGGCGGCUUUUCAAAAACUCAAGAUUCUUCAAAAUCCCAAUUUUGGUUCCUAAAGAGAGAAAGUGGCUCCAAUGUCGUCGGUUUACAAAAUAAAAAACCCUGAUUUCCAAAAUGAAUUAUCUCCUACACGUGAUUGGUUGUUGUGUUGUGUUGUGUUGUGUUGCUGAUAUUAUGGGGUUCCCCUCCGGGUGUGUAUGAGAUCUGGUUAUCCAAAAUAUGAAGGGGUAAGGUGUUGUGUUGCCGACAUUCUAGGGGCUCCCCUCUGGUGCGAGGAAAACAUGUUGGAAAUCAAAGUUUUUGUCUUUGGAGGGACGGUGAAUCUUCUC